rnacentral:rRNA from 1 species
GCUAAACAGCUAGCUUAAACACCACAUUAAAUUAACAACAUAGAUAAAAUAACAAAACCUAAAAUUAUUAACCAAAUCAUUUUUCCACCUAAGUACGGGAGACGAAAAAGGUUCCACAAGCAAUAGAAAAAGUACCGCAAGGGAAAGCUGAAAGAGCAAUGAAAUAAGUCAUUUAAGCAUAAAAAAGCAGAGACUAAAACUCGUACCUUUUGCAUCAUGAUUUAGCAAGAAUAUACAGGCAAAGAGACCUUUAGUUUGUUACCCCGAAACCAAGUGAGCUACCCCGGGACAGCCUAAAAGGGCCAACCCGUCUCUGUGGCAAAAGAGUGGGAAGAGCCCCGGGUAGAGGUGACAGACCUACCGAACUUGGUGAUAGCUGGUUGCCUGAGAAAUGAAUAGAAGUUCAGCCUCGUGUCCCUUUAAUCAAAUGAGUAAUAUCCAAUUUAGAAAAUAAGAGAAGCAUGAGAGUUAGCUGAAGGGGGUACAGCCCCUUCAAUUAAGGAUACAACUUUUACAGGAGGAUAGGGAUUAUAAUUAUAAAAAUUUAUUGUUUCAGUGGGCCUAAAAGCAGCCAUCUGAACAGAAAGCGUUAAAGCUCAGACAAUGCGAAAUUUAUUAUUUCAAUAGCACAUCCCACUCCCCUAAGUAUAUCAGGCCGCUCCAUGACAACAUGGAAGAGAUUAUGCUAAAAUGAGUAACAAGAGACAAUAUUUCUCUCCUGGCAUAAGUGUAAGCCAGCCCGGAUAAGCCGCCGGCAAUUAACGAGCCCAAUAAAAGAGGGUAAUGUAACCAAUAUAAACCACAAGAAAAUCACACAGCCUCCAAUCGUUAACCCCACACUGGAAUGCCCUAAAGGAAAGACUAAAAGGGAGGGAAGGAACUCGGCAAAUACAAGCCUCGCCUGUUUACCAAAAACAUCGCCUCCUGCAAAACUCAAAGUAUAGGAGGUCCAGCCUGCCCAGUGACCACAAGUUCAACGGCCGCGGUAUUUUGACCGUGCAAAGGUAGCGCAAUCACUUGUCUUUUAAAUGAAGACCUGUAUGAAUGGCUAAACGAGGGCUUAGCUGUCUCCCCACCCAAGUCAGUGAAAUUGAUCUGCCCGUGCAGAAGCGGACAUAAAUAUACAAGACGAGAAGACCCUUUGGAGCUUAAGGUUCAAGUCCAACCGCGUUAAACAACUUACUUAAUAAGUAUAAAACCUAGCGGAUAAUGGAACUUUACCUUCGGUUGGGGCGACCACGGAGAAAAGCAUAUCCUCCGAGUGGAUUGGGAAAUAAACCUAAAACCAAGAAAGACAUUUCUAAGACACAGAAAAUCUGACCAAUAAUGAUCCGGCCUUACAGGCCGAUCAACGGACCAAGUUACCCUAGGGAUAACAGCGCAAUCCCCUCCCAGAGUCCAUAUCGACGAGGGGGUUUACGACCUCGAUGUUGGAUCAGGACAUCCUAAUGGUGCAGCCGCUAUUAAGGGUUCGUUUGUUCAACGAUUAAAGUCCUACGUGAUCUGAGUUCAGACCGGAGUAAUCCAGGUCAGUUUCUAUCUGUAAAGUCACUUUUCCUAGUACGAAAGGACCGGAAAAGGGAGGCCUAUACCAAAAGUACGCCUCACCCCUAAUUAAUGAACACAGCUUAAUUGAAUAAAUGGAGGACCUGUAAUUUAGGCAAAGAUAAUGCCAU